rnacentral:misc_RNA from 1 species
CUUGGCGUAAACACUUGUUUCCAUUGUGGUUGGCCACCAAUUGGUGGGCGAGUGAGUUCAAUAGCAACAGGCCUCAAUGUGCUAUCAUUGACGAGGAAGAACAUUGUCCUGGAACCAUACAAUGUAGUGCCUUCAAGCUCCCUUACUUUGGCCACAUAUGGUAAGAGAAUAUCAUGGUAAUCCAAUAUAAAUAGCCUCUUCUGCUUCAAAGCCUACAAAACCCCCAAUUUUGAUUCAGCUGCAAAACAAGAAAAUUUUCAUUUGAGUCUAUGGAGUAUCGAACAGCUAUAUACCUCUUCAACAGUCAUGAAGCCCCUGAUUUCUUUUUCGAUUAUUUCUUUUGUGAUCGCUGAUUCAGGAGGACCAUAGACGUUAGGAUCAAGUUUGCUCGUUAGAGGCCAUUCCUACGAUAGAAAAUUCAAAAAUUUAGUGUUUUAUAACAAGUUUGAUCAUUUGGUUUCAAUCGGGC